CCUAAUACAUGCAAGUCGAACGAGAACCCUUGGAUUCGUCUGGGGGGGAGAGUGGCGAACUGGUGAGUAACACGUGGGUGACCUGCCCCGAAGACGGGGAUAAGCGUUGGAAACGACGGCUAAUACCCGAUAUACUCGGUGAUUCGGUUCAUCGAGUAAAGGCUCCGGUGCUUCGGGAUGGGCCUGCGGCCUAUCAGCUAGUUGGUGGGGUAAUGGCCCACCAAGGCGAAGACGGGUAGGGGGCGUGAGAGCGCGGNCCCCCACACUGGCACUGAGAUACGGGCCAGACUUCUACGGAAGGCAGCAGUCGGGGAUAUUGCACAAUCGGCGAAAGCCGGAUGCAGCGACGCCGCGUGGGCGAUGAAGGCCUUCGGGUUGUAAAGCCCUUUUAUGGGGGAAGAGACAAGGACGGUACCCCAAGAAUAAGCGUCGGCUAACUACGUGCCAGCAGCCGCGGUAAAACGUAGGACGCAAGCGUUAUCCGGAUUUACUGGGCGUAAAGAGCGUUGAGGCGGUUCCGUAAGUUGGGCGUGAAAGCCCCGGGCUUAACCCGGGGAGGUCGUUCAAUACUGCGGGACUUGAGGGCAGCAGAGGGAGGCGGAAUACCCGGUGUAGCGGUGAAAUGCGUAAGAUAUCGGGAGGAACACCAGUGGCGAAGGCGGCCUCCUGGGCUGUAACUGACGCUGAAGGCGAAAGCUAAGGGAGCGAACGGGAUUAG
rnacentral:rRNA from 1 species